rnacentral:rRNA from 1 species
GACGAGGGUCCGAGCGUUGUCCGGAGUUACUGGGCGUAAAGGGCGCGUAGGCGGCUUUGUGCGUCACCCGUGAAAGCCCCCGGCUCAAACCCGGGGAGGGUCGGGUGAAACGGCGGAGCUGGAGGCAGCGAGAGGCUGGUGGAAUUCCCGGUGUAGUGGUGAAAUGCGUAGAGAUCGGGAGGAACACCUGUGGCGAAGGCGGCCGGCUGGGGUACCCUGACGCUGGAGGCGCGACAGCGUGGGAGCGAACCGG